AUUGAACGCUGGCGGCAGGCCUAACACAUGCAAGUCGAGCGGUAGAGAGGAGCUUGCUUCUCUUGAGAGCGGCGGACGGGUGAGUAAUGCCUAGGAAUCUGCCUGGUAGUGGGGGAUAACGUUCGGAAACGGACGCUAAUACCGCAUACGUCCUACGGGAGAAAGUGGGGGAUCUUCGGACCUCACGCUAUCAGAUGAGCCUAGGUCGGAUUAGCUAGUUGGUGGGGUAAAGGCUCACCAAGGCGACGGUCCGUAACUGGUAUGAGAGGAUGAUCAGUCACACUGUAAGUGCGAGCCGGUCCAGACUCCUACGGGAGGCAACAGUGGGGAAUAUUGGACAAUGGGCGCGAUCGUGAUCCAGCCAUGCCGCGUGUGUGAAGAAGGUCUUCGGAUUGUAAAGCACUUUAAGUUGGGAGGAAGGUCAGUAGCUUAAUACGUUGCUGAUUUGACGUUACCGACAGAAUAAGCACCGGCUAACUCUGUGCCAGCCGCCGCCGUAAGAC
rnacentral:rRNA from 1 species